CCUGAAGCUAAAAUGGCGCCGGGGCCACGCGGGAAGGAAAAGCGCCGAGGGAGAGCGGACUGUGUCAACAUGUCCCGUUCCCGAGGUUCCUGUUGCUGGGGUUUUCCUCACCCUCAGAGUCAAUAAAAUGGAGGAUCCACUUGGGAAUCGUCUUGUUCCAGAGUGUGUGUUUUGUGUCGACGUACAGGACUGUACUUUCAAUGGUACUUACAAAGAUAAGCCUUAAACAAUGCCAGCGGGAAUUACAACUUUAGCUCAGACAGGAGAGAGCUGGCCAUUGAGUCCUUCCAGUCCCAGCACCAAGGCAGAUACCAGUGCGUCGCAAUCAACAGGGGUUGGAACGAUAUUUAAUGUGACCAGGAAUUCCAUCAACCUCACAGAGCCAGCACAGGCACGCAGCACUGAGAUGGCAGUACUCAUUGUCCCACUGUUUCUGAUCCUUUCUCUCCUCACAUUGCUUCCCAUUAAACUCGGGGAUUGGAAACAAGGUGAGUGAGACACUCCAGCAGGUAAUCCCGGUGAUCGUUCUCCAGUUGGCACUCGAUGUACAUUUCAAACUGAUGUUGCUCACAUAGUGUGCGUAUGAGAGAGUAUGUGUGUGAGUACGUUUGAGUGAGAGUAUGAAAGUGUACAUGUCUGUGUGUGAGAGAGAGAGAGAGACACAUUUUCAUUGACACUUACGCAUAGUUUCACGUGCGCAAACACACACUGCUCAGUCAUGUCUGCAGUGCACAUUGUAGACCACACUUGAGAAUCCGAACACCAUCCAGAGACAAAGCAGCCCCUGCUUGGUUGGCACCACAUCCACCACCCGUGUUCAGUAGCAGCUACGAGAUGCCCUGCAGAAAU